AUUGAACGCUGGCGGCAUGCCUUACACAUGCAAGUCGAACGGUAACGCGGGGCAACCUGGCGACGAGUGGCGAACGGGUGAGUAAUAUAUCGGAACGUGCCCAGUAGUGGGGGAUAGCCCGGCGAAAGCCGGAUUAAUACCGCAUACGACCUGAGGGUGAAAGCGGGGGAUCGCAAGACCUCGCGCUAUUGGAGCGGCCGAUAUCAGAUUAGGUAGUUGGUGAGGUAAAGGCUCACCAAGCCGACGAUCUGUAGCUGGUCUGAGAGGACGACCAGCCACACUGGGACUGAGACACGGCCCAGACUCCUACGGGAGGCAGCAGUGGGGAAUUUUGGACAAUGGGCGCAAGCCUGAUCCAGCCAUGCCGCGUGCGGGAAGAAGGCCUUCGGGUUGUAAACCGCUUUUGUCAGGGAAGAAAUCUUCUGGGUUAAUACCUCGGGAGGAUGACGGUACCUGAAGAAUAAGCACCGGCUAACUACGUGCCAGCAGCCGCGGUAAUAC
rnacentral:rRNA from 1 species